rnacentral:rRNA from 1 species
CGGGGAGAUCAACAGGGAUUGCCCUAGUAACGGCGAGUGAAGCGGCAACAGCUCAAAUUUGAAAUCUGGCUCUUUUAGAGUCCGAGUUGUAAUUUGCAGAGGGCGCUUUGGCUUUGGCAGCGGUCCAAGUUCCUUGGAACAGGACGUCACAGAGGGUGAGAAUCCCGUACGUGGUCGCUGGCUAUUGCCGUGUAAAGCCCCUUCGACGAGUCGAGUUGUUUGGGAAUGCAGCUCUAAAUGGGAGGUACAUUUCUUCUAAAGCUAAAUAUUGGCCAGAGACCGAUAGCGCACAAGUAGAGUGAUCGAAAGAUGAAAAGCACUUUGGAAAGAGAGUCAAACAGCACGUGAAAUUGUUGAAAGGGAAGCGCUUGCAGCCAGACUUGCUUGCAGUUGCUCAUCCGGGCUUUUGCCCGGUGCACUCUUCUGUAGGCAGGCCAGCAUCAGUUUGGGCGGUAGGAUAAAGGUCUCUGUCACGUACCUCUCUUCGGGGAGGCCUUAUAGGGGAGGCGACAUACUACCAGCCUGGACUGAGGUCCGCGCAUCUGCUAGGAUGCUGGCGUAAUGGCUGUAAGCGGCCCGUCUUGAAACACGGACCAAGGAGUCUAACAUCUAUGCGAGUGUUUGGGUGUCAAGCCCGAGCGCGUAAUGAAAGUGAACGGAGGUAGGACCCCGCAAGGGUGCACUAUCGACCGAUCCUGAUGUCUUCGGAAGGAUUUGAGUAAGAGCAUGGCUGUUGGGACCCGAAAGAUGGUGAACUAUGCUUGAAUAGGGUGAAGCCAGAGGAAACUCUGGUGGAGGCUCGCAGCGGUUCUGACGUGCAAAUCGAUCGUCAAAUUUGGGCAUA